GGAGCUUGCUCCACCGGAAAAAGAAGAGUGGCGAACGGGUGAGUAACACGUGGGUAACCUGCCCAUCAGAAGGGGAUAACACUUGGAAACAGGUGCUAAUACCGUAUAACAAUCGAAACCGCAUGGUUUUGAUUUGAAAGGCGCUUUCGGGUGUCGCUGAUGGAUGGACCCGCGGUGCAUUAGCUAGUUGGUGAGGUAACGGCUCACCAAGGCCACGAUGCAUAGCCGACCUGAGAGGGUGAUCGGCCACAUUGGGACUGAGACACGGCCCAAACUCCUACGGGAGGCAGCAGUAGGGAAUCUUCGGCAAUGGACGAAAGUCUGACCGAGCAACGCCGCGUGAGUGAAGAAGGUUUUCGGAUCGUAAAACUCUGUUGUUAGAGAAGAACAAGGAUGAGAGUAACUGUUCAUCCCUUGACGGUAUCUAACCAGAAAGCCACGGCUAACUACGUGCCAGCAGCCGCGGUAAUACGUAGGUGGCAAGCGUUGUCCGGAUUUAUUGGGCGUAAAGCGAGCGCAGGCGGUUUCUUAAGUCUGAUGUGAAAGCCCCCGGCUCAACCGGGGAGGGUCAUUGGAAACUGGGAGACUUGAGUGCAGAAGAGGAGAGUGGAAUUCCAUGUGUAGCGGUGAAAUGCGUAGAUAUAUGGAGGAACACCAGUGGCGAAGGCGGCUCUCUGGUCUGUAACUGACGCUGAGGCUCGAAAGCGUGGGGAGCAAACAGGAUUAGAUACCCUGGUAGUCCACGCCGUAAACGAUGAGUGCUAAGUGUUGGAGGGUUUCCGCCCUUCAGUGCUGCAGCUAACGCAUUAAGCACUCCGCCUGGGGAGUACGACCGCAAGGUUGAAACUCAAAGGAAUUGACGGGGGCCCGCACAAGCGGUGGAGCAUGUGGUUUAAUUCGAAGCAACGCGAAGAACCUUACCAGGUCUUGACAUCCUUUGACCACUCUAGAGAUAGAGCUUCCCCUUCGGGGGCAAAGUGACAGGUGGUGCAUGGUUGUCGUCAGCUCGUGUCGUGAGAUGUUGGGUUAAGUCCCGCAACGAGCGCAACCCUUAUUGUUAGUUGCCAUCAUUCAGUUGGGCACUCUAGCAAGACUGCCGGUGACAAACCGGAGGAAGGUGGGGAUGACGUCAAAUCAUCAUGCCCCUUAUGACCUGGGCUACACACGUGCUACAAUGGGAAGUACAACGAGUCGCGAAGUCGCGAGGCUAAGCUAAUCUCUUAAAGCUUCUCUCAGUUCGGAUUGCAGGCUGCAACUCGCCUGCAUGAAGCCGGAAUCGCUAGUAAUCGCGGAUCAGCACGCCGCGGUGAAUACGUUCCCGGGCCUUGUACACACCGCCCGUCACACCACGAGAGUUUGUAACACCCGAAGUCGGUGAGGUAACCUUUGGAGCCAGCC
rnacentral:rRNA from 1 species